GACGAACGCUGGCGGCGUGCUUAACACAUGCCAGUCGAGCGGUAAGGCCUCUUCGGGGGUACACGAGCGGAGAACGGGUGAGUAACACGGGGGUGACCGGCCCUCAGCUCUGGGAUAAGCCUGGGAAACUGGGUCUAAUACCGGAUAUGACCUUUCCUCGCAUGGGGUUUGGUGGAAAGUUUUUUCGGCUGGGGAUGGGCCCGCGGCCUAUCAGCUUGUUGGUGGGGUGAUGGCCUACCAAGGCGACGACGGGGAGCCGGCCUGAGAGGGCGACCGGCCACACUGGGACUGAGACACGGCCCAGACUCCUACGGGAGGCAGCAGUGGGGAAUAUUGCGCAAUGGGCGGAAGCCUGACGCAGCGACGCCGCGUGGGGGAUGACGGCCUUCGGGUUGUAAACCUCUUUCGACCCCGACGAAUUUGGACGUUAGGGGUAGAAGAAGCACCGGCCAACUACGUG
rnacentral:rRNA from 1 species